rnacentral:sRNA from 1 species
CGCCUAAACUUGUAGCAAUACAGGCAUGGCAUAAAAACCUUAGAGGUAUUAAGCUCGUCGUCAGAGCACCUCUAAGGUUAUCAUCCGAAAGGGUGGUAGGUAGCGAAAGCUAUC